UACGGAGGAUCCGAGCGUUAUCCGGAUUUAUUGGGUUUAAAGGGUGCGUAGGUGGAUUGGUAAGUCAGUGGUGAAAGUUUGCAGCUUAACUGUAAAAUUGCCGUUGAAACUGCCGGUCUUGAGUGCAAAUGAGGUAGGCGGAAUGCGUCGUGUAGCGGUGAAAUGCUUAGAUAUGACGCAGAACUCCGAUCGCGUAGGCAGCUUACUAAACCAUAACUGACGCUCAGGCACGAAGGCGUGGGGAUCAAACAGGAUUAGAUACCCGUGUA
rnacentral:rRNA from 1 species